rnacentral:lncRNA from 1 species
AUCAUGGAUACUCUACCAUACCACCCACGGACAGCUUCCCCUGAGGGUCAUGGAGUCUCCACAAGCUGCCAGACCUGUGCAGCCAAGCAUGGCAGCCACACUCACCCAGGCUCUUUAUUUUGCCAUCCCAGAAGGAAGUGUCUGAGGGUCAUAGAGCACUGUAGCACUUAACAGGUUACCAUGGACACCAGUUGCAAAGGGAAAUAGUGCCUUACUCUAAGUGGGUUGAGCUAUGCAGAAGAUAAUGUGCAUGACAAACACCUUUACUUUUCUCUACAUCAGCCUCUUUUCUUAGAUAAAAUGGUUUUGUGAUUUUGGUUUCUUUUUCUUUUUCUUUUUUUCCCCUUUAUUCUUUACUUUGGUGGAGGAGGGUAAGAAAAGCUGUCUGUGCUAUUUUCAAAAGGAGGGUGGUGUGUCUCAGGAGAGAAGGAGGCUCUCGUCAUCCAGCUACGUAACAUUUACCCUCCCCACCUUGGUAAACACUCUGAUGCAACGUGGCAACUUAUGAAAUCUUUGUAUGAAAAAUGAAGACUGCAAAAAAAAAAUCACAACUUUCAAAAGAAAUAAAUCAUUGCAUGUUUAUUAUGCAAGUUUCAAUGAACAAAGAAAGCCUUCGGAAACAAGUUGAUCAACACAGGAGAACUUUCGUGAUAAUUACAUCCAUAGUGACAGAGCUGUGGACUCACUCAUAUAUCUGGAGUCAGUGUCAUCCACCGACAGUUGGAACCAUCGCCAACGUGACAGUAGUCUUGGGUUUUCCUCUUUCUUUUGGCCACCUGUGAUCAUUGGUUAAGGACGCCUUGACAGGCCAUCUUUUGAUAUCCAAGCUGAAGCAAUAUCCAUUCAGAGAUUUCAUUGGUUGCGUCAAAAGACAUGGGUGACCAUGUACAUCGAUUCAUUUUAUGUUUUUCUUUAUUCCUUUUUUUUUCAUUUUGAGUCCUUUUAAUGUAAUUCUAAUCUUUACAAUUAAAAAGGACAGGUUCAGAAUGGAAGCGAGGUCAUUCUGCGUACAUUGGAGAUCUUUUAUUACAAGUCUGCUUGUUAAUUUUAGAAUUGUAAAACGGCUCUAAUUAAACUAUUUAACUAAC